AUGUUGUUGUUUGUCGGAGCUGGGUUGAUUUCGGCGGCAAUGAGAGGUUUUGAGGGAGUGAGGGUGAGUGAUGAUUGUCGCCGGCGUGUUGGAAGGAAAGAAGAGGGAGGCUGAAGAUGAGGUGUGAGAGAGUCACACGAAGAAGGAAGUUCCUUCAAUUUUUUACUUUCUUCAUUUUUAUUACCUUUUCCUCUUUUUAUUUUAUUUUCUGAGAUAUAGUAUAUGAGAAUGGCUAGCGGUUUAGUCUUUCCCAGUCCCCAUUGUUUCACUUUUUUAUACCUUUCAAGUAGGAUUUUCUAUUUUUAAU
rnacentral:lncRNA from 1 species